CCCCUACAAACCACUUCCAACCACUUUCCCAUGUCUGGUCCCUCCAAAUUGGGCUCAGCUGUCUGUGCAGCUGAACCUAAUAGCCUAAACAAAACCUAGGUCUGCCUUCAUCUUGUUCACCUCUUACUAAGCUGCUAGACUUGAGAGCAUGCUCACCUCAGACUCCAGGGGGACAAAGGGAGAAGAAGGCAUGUGUAGGCUUAAUCCUGAUCCCAGAGUAGGGUACCUGAAAAAGGACAGCUUGGUGGUGAAAAGGCACUGUGAAGGACCUGGAUAUGGUUGACCUCCCUGUGCUUCUUGAAGCGGUU